rnacentral:rRNA from 1 species
AACGAACGCUGGCGGCAGGCCUAACACAUGCAAGUCGAACGCCGUAGCAAUACGGAGUGGCAGACGGGUGAGUAACACGUGGGAACAUACCCUUCGGUUCGGAAUAACUCAGGGAAACUUGAGCUAAUACCGGAUACGUCCGCGAGGAGAAAGAUUCAUCGCCGGAGGAUUGGCCCGCGUCUGAUUAGCUUGUUGGUGAGGUAACGGCUCACCAAGGCGACGAUCAGUAGCUGGUCUGAGAGGAUGAUCAGCCACAUUGGGACUGAGACACGGCCCAAACUCCUACGGGAGGCAGCAGUGGGGAAUAUUGGACAAUGGGCGCAAGCCUGAUCCAGCCAUGCCGCGUGAGUGAUGAAGGCCCUAGGGUUGUAAAGCUCUUUUACCCGGGAAGAUAAUGACUGUACCGGGAGAAUAAGCCCCGGCUAACUUCGUGCCAGCAGCCGCAGUAAC